AACGAACGCUGGCGGCAUGCCUAACACAUGCAAGUCGAACGAAGGCUUCGGCCUUUGUGGCGCACGGGUGCGUAACGCGUGGGAAUCUGCCCUUUGGUUCGGAAUAACAGCUGGAAACGGCUGCUAAUACCGGAUGAUGACUAAAGUCCAAAGAUUUAUCGCCAGAGGAUGAGCCCGCGUUGGAUUAGGUAGUUGGUGGGGUAAAGGCUUACCAAGCCGACGAUCCAUAGCUGGUCUGAGAGGAUGAUCAGCCACACUGGGACUGAGACACGGCCCAGACUCCUACGGGAGGCAGCAGUGGGGAAUAAUGGACAAUGGGCGCAAGCCUGAGCCAGCAAUGCCGCGUGAGUGAUGAAGGCCCUAGGGUUGUAAAGCUCUUUUACCCGGGAAGAUAAUGACGGUACCGGGAGAAUAAGCCCCGGCUAACUCCGG
rnacentral:rRNA from 1 species